AUGUGGACCCGUCUUCGUCAGCGCUAUCAGCCCUCUGGUGAUGCCUUAUACCUUUCUGUGGUCCGUCAGGAGCAUGCUCUUCAGCAGGGUGACUCUACUGUUGAUGACUUCUAUGCACAGAGUUCUGCUAUCUGGCGCCAGCUUGAUUCUCUCCGCAGUGCUGGUUGUCGUACCUGCCCCUGUUGCCAGGCUGUCCAGGCCAAUUUGGAGUUUCAUCGCGUCUAUGAGUUCCUGUCUCGGCUCCGUAAGGAGUUUGAGCCCCGGCGUGCUCAGUUGUUUGCUCGUGGCCGUAUUUCUCUCAUGGAGGCGCUUUCUGAGAUUCGUGCUGAGGAGACUCGCUUACGUGGUGCUGGUUUGCUGGAGGUUCCCUCUGUGCUCGCUACUCGUGCUCCUACGCCACCUGCUGCACCGACCCCUUCUCGCUCGAGUGCUCCGCCGCUCUUGCCCACUCCUUCUGGAGGCUCAGGUCGCCCCCGUCCACAUUGCGACUAUUGCAACAAUGAUGGUCAUCUUGAGUCUCAGUGCUACACGAAGAAGAAACACCUGCGCAAGGCGCGAUCAUCAUCUUCAGGAACUUCAUCA
rnacentral:rRNA from 1 species